AAUUUCGUAACUGGGGAGACCCAAACGAGAGUAGGGAAGAGGAGCCGGAGAAGAGAGAGACGGAGAUGGAACUGGAGAUGGAGCUGGGGCUGGGGCGGUUUUUCCUCUCUCAAAUCCUGAACUCUGUCUUCUGUAAUCAAAGUCCUCUUCUGCAACCACUGGAAGGUUCGUAGAAACAGAGGAAUUAGGUGAUGAGCUCAGGCAACCAUCAAAACCUCCCACCAGUAUUCUCUCUCUCUCUCUCUCUCUCUCUCUCUCUCUCUCCAGUGUCCGUCAGUGAAGAACAGAGUCGAUUUCUGGGACCUAAACUACCUACUGGUUUUGACAAUGAUUCUGUGCAAGACCUGUUGAAAACUACUAACUAAUGGCAAUAUUACAAGCUACAACCAUAUCACUUCUGUCAUCCUGGGUUUGUGCAUCUGCUGACAGUCAUUUAUGAACUCAGUUAUGGGGAGACUGAGAUUAAACAAGGUAGGUACAACUGGAGGUUGAAUACAAUAUGGAGAGUGAAUAAAUGUUGGAACCAUUGUUUUGACAGUGCUUUGAGAAAUAUUGGGACUUAAGGCUUAUAAUGUAAGGCAGCACCUCAACAAGUGUAAUUUCCAGCUUCCAGAUAUCCAACUGAUUAUGUAUACAUUCCAUUCUUAUAUGUAUUAGUCUGGAGUAGUUGUCUAAAUUAUAAUUUCAGGUUCUGCUCUGCUUAAGGACGUAUAUACUGAAAUUCUUAGCAGAGGGGGUUGGUCUGUUACAAGUUUAAGGGAAAUAUAUAUAUAUAUAUAUAUAUAUAUUUCUGUUCGUAUUUGGUUAUGACAUUUAUUUAAAACUGUAUGAAAGUUCAGAAGUUUGGACUUCUUUAGUAUCUGUAUUUGACAUUACUCUUGGUCUUGCGUGGUAUUUAUUAUCUACUACAUUAUGCAGUUUCUGGA